UGACCAUCCUGCAGUAUCCAAGUCAGAUGAAGGACUCUACAAGUGUACCAACUCUGAAGGAGAAUCACCAGAGAGCUGGAUGACUGUUGACAGGGGAAACCAGGGUACCCAGGAAGACCCACCAAGACCAAUUAGGUGAUCAUGUUGAAGAAGAGUGAGGCUGAGAUCACCUGAUCACCAUAACAACCAUCAGAAUGGAACUCAUGGAAUUCUAAUAUAGAACUGUGAGUCACAAUGCUGUAUGUUGUUACAUUGUAGCUCCACCUGCUGGAACAAUAGUGGCAUUUGAUCAAAUGUGAUCUAUUAACUGAUACAUGUAUUAUUCUGAUUGGAAUGUGUUUUAAUAUAAUGUGUGUUGUAUUAUUCAUUCAGCAGC